rnacentral:rRNA from 1 species
UUUCGAAUCAUUCACAAUGGGCGAAAGCCUGAUGGUGCGACGCCGCGUGAGGGAUGAAGGUCUUCGGAUUGUAAACCUCUGUCACCGGGGAAGAAACGCUUCAAGUUAAUAGCUUGAAGCCUGACUUAACCCGGAGAGGAAGCAGUGGCUAACUCUGUGCCAGCAGCCGCGGUAAUACAGAGACUGCGAGCGUUAUUCGGAUUCACUGGGCGUAAAGGGUGCGCAGGCGGCCAAGUGUGUUAGGCGUGAAAGCCCGAGGCUUAACCUCGGAAUUGCACCUAAAACUACAUGGCUAGAGUACUGGAGAGGGAAACGGAAUUCACGGUGUAGCAGUGAAAUGCGUAGAUAUCGUGAGGAACACCAGAGGCGAAGGCGGUUUCCUGGACAGUUACUGACGCUCAGGCACGAAAGCGUGGGGAGCAAAAGGGAUUAGAUACCCCCGUAGUCC